UUGCUUAUGAAAGGUUUAAGGAAGCAAUAACAUUUCCAAAUAAGGAAGAGGCAUAAGCUAUGAGCUAAGACUUGCCUGGGCCUGUCCAGACAUGCCUGGGUAAGACAAAGCAACUAACUGGGCUAAAGUGUAAGAACUAAUAGUUGAUAGGAGGCUUUAGAGUAAGAAGCUAUUAUUUCUAGUGUCUAUUAUUUUAUUUUUAAACCAAGACAAGCUUUGAAGGGAACUUUUUUACUUUCUACAGUGUGUGACACAUGUGCUCAUGGAUUAUUGUCCGAAGCAAGUCAUGUGACCAAGCUUAACAUCAACUGGGUGAAGAGCUAUAUGUUCCUUUCUCAAGAGGCACUACAAGUGACAUGCCAACGGGCAGCAUUGUAUUUUUUGCACAUAUGGAAAAGAGAAAAACAAAUAUGAAAACGUAAAUCUAAGAGUUACCAAGGUGAGGCAAUGAAAAGCCAAUCUGUAAUUGUCUGCUCUUUCUUACCCUGCUGCUAACUACUGAGGAAACUGCUACAGAUGGCAGAGCCUCCAUCAAGCCAGGUGGACUGAGUAGCGCAAACUCUCUCUUUACCCGUGUUGGACAGGUAACGUGAGGAAAAGUAAACUAUUGUUUUAAGCCACUGAGGUUUGAAGAUGGUUUGUUACUGUAGCAUAUUAUAGUCAGACUUGAUUAAUAGAUGAGGCCUCUAGGUAAUUUUCUUUGGGAUUUUCUUUGGAAAAAUCCAAAGAAAAUAUUUGCCCUUCUAACUGUCUUUUAAAAUUAAAAUAAAUUAUGAACCAAAAAAAUUAUUUCUUAUAUCUAUUUGGCUGACAUCACAGCUAAUAUUAGAU
ensembl:lincRNA